UAGGCACCUGUCAGCUCUAAGGUGCAUGGUGGAGACCUGGUGGGGGCCCGCUCCUGCUGAAGGCCUGCUGUCCCAACACGAAGGACAUGCCAGCACUUGUUUGCCAUGACCCCUCAGGAUUCACUUCUGCUGGGAGCCCACACCCGGGCUGCUGGGGGUCCUCGCCAACCUUGCAGGAGGGCACUUCAUCUCCUGUGUUGUCGCAGGCAUACCUGGUGGAAGCCCCCAGCUUUGUGAGCACCGUGCGCACACCUCUCAGGUUGCUGGGGCCCGCAUGCAGCUUGUGACAGAAGUCUGCUGUAAUCUGUGCCCGGCUUCUCCUGAAGACUCUCCCCUGGGCCUUGUAUGCUCUCAUUCACUUAUGGCCAUUUUAGUGAGGCCUGGGGAGGAGGAACAAACCAGUGUGUGAGCUCCAAGCCCGUUUUCUUCACCAGGUCUUCUUGUAUCUUUAAACAGUUAAAUUUUCCUGGAAACACUGUUUGAGAACAGGUCUCCUCUGGGGGACAUUUAUAAGCCUCGUAAUUUUGUCCUGUUGCGAAUAAAGCUUCGGUCACGACCUCUGUCCA